rnacentral:rRNA from 1 species
ACUCCUACGGGAGGCAGCAGUGGGAAUAUUGCACAAUGGGGAACCGUAGCUGNAGCCAUGCCGCGUGUGUGAAGAAGGCCUUCGGGUUGUAAAGCACUUUCAGUAGGGAGGAAGGUAGUGUAGUUAACACCUGCAUUAUUUGACGUUACCUACAGAAGAAGCACCGGCUAACUCCGUGCCAGCAGCCGCGGUAAUACGGAGGGUGCGAGCGUUAAUCGGAAUUACUGGGCGUAAAGCGCAUGCAGGCGGCCUGUUAAGUCAGAUGUGAAAGCCCGGGC